rnacentral:rRNA from 1 species
GAGAGUGGCGCACGGGUGCGUAACGCGUAUGCAACCUACCCUAUACAGGGGGAUAGCCCGGAGAAAUCUGGAUUAAUACCCCAUGGCACUAUGUUGAGGCAUUUCGAUAUAGUUAAAGAUUUAUCGGUAUAGGAUGGGCAUGCGUCUGAUUAGCUAGUUGGCGGUGUAACGGACCACCAAGGCGACGAUCAGUAGGGGUUCUGAGAGGAAGGUCCCCCACACUGGCACUGAGAUACGGGCCAGACUCCUACGGGAGGCAGCAGUAGGGAAUAUUGGGCAAUGGACGAGAGUCUGACCCAGCCAUGCCGCGUGCAGGAAGACGGCGUUCUGCGUUGUAAACUGCUUUUAUCUGGGAAGAAAAGGCCCAUGCGUGGGACAUUGCCGGUACCAGAUGAAUAAGCACCGGCUAACUCCGUGCCAGCAGCCGCGGUAAUACGGAGGGUGCAAGCGUUGUCCGGAUUUAUUGGGUUUAAAGGGUGCGUAGGCGGCUAUUUAAGUCAGUGGUGAAAGACUCCGGCUCAACCGGAGCAGUGCCAUUGAUACUGGAUAGCUUGAGUAUUGGAGAGGUACAUGGAAUUGAUGGUGUAGCGGUGAAAUGCAUAGAUACCAUCAGGAACACCGAUAGCGAAGGCAUUGUACUGGCCAAUAACUGACGCUGAUGCACGAAAGCAUGGGGAGCGAACAGGAUUAGAUACCCUGGUAGUCCAUGCCGUAAACGAUGAUUACUCGCUGUUAUGCCUAUAUGGUGUAG